rnacentral:rRNA from 1 species
AUACGGAGGAUGCGAGCGUUAUCCGGAUUUAUUGGGUUUAAAGGGAGCGUAGGUGGGAUAUUAAGUCAGCUGUGAAAGUUUGGGGCUCAACCUUAAAAUUGCAGUUGAUACUGGUUUCCUUGAGUACGGUAUAGGUGGGCGGAAUUCGUGGUGUAGCGGUGAAAUGCUUAGAUAUCACGUAGAACUCCGAUCGCGAAGGCAGCUCACCGGGCCGGAACUGACACUGAUGCUCGAAAGUGCGGGUAUCAAACAGGAGUAGAUACCCUUGUAGUCCGCACAGUAAACGAUUAAUACUCUCUGUUUGCGAUACACUGUAAGCGGCCAAGCGAAAGCGUUAAGUAUUCCACCUGGGGAGUACGCCGGCAACAGUGAAACUCAAAGGAAUUGACGGGU